CUUUUUUUGUAAUGCAGCCACUUCUUUCUGUGUGUGUGUGUGUGUGUGUGUGUGUGUGUGUGUGUGUGUGUGUGUGUGUGUGUGUGUGUGCGUGAGCGCGCGUGGCCGGGCUGUGGAGGUGUGAUGUGACGUUGCUGGUUUUCCCCUCUUUCUGCGGGUUUUUCCUCCGUUUAAACGUUUGAGCUGCUUUUGUUGUGAAAACGCGAGUUUUUGUGCGCGUGGACUUUGGAUCAGAUCGGGACCUGAAAGAGAAGAAGCUGGUGGAGGAGAAGGAGAACGGCAAAGACGCCGCCACCAAUGGGAAGGAGAAUGAAGAGAACGGUGAGCCCGAGGUAGAUGACGAGGAGGACGAGGAGGUGGACGAGGAAGAAGAGGAAGAUGAUGGAGAAGAUGAGGAGGAGGACGACGACGAGAUUGAGGGUGGCACAAAACGGGCAGCUGAGGAUGACGAGGACGACGACGAGGACGACGUCGAAACCAAGAAGCAGAAAACCGACGAUGACGAUUGAUGCGUUUCCCCCGCGCCAUCCUGCUGAACCACUUCCUGAUUCUUCACCUCUGACCAUUUUUCUAUGUCGCAGGUGGAGGGGCUGGAGGACUGAUUUAAAGGAAAAAAUAAUAAUAAUAAAAAAAAUCCAACAUGGUCAUUAGCAAGUAGAGUUCAACAAACACCCGCCACGCCCACACCCACCCGAGCUCCCCUCGACGCUGCGAGACAAAUUUUCUAGAGGAACCCGCCACCGCAUCGACGACGCAGAAAUCCGGCUUCUCUUCAGCAACAACACAAAAGGAGAAUUUGUUUGUAUUUUUAUUUACAUUUUAUAUUUUUGUACAUAUUGUUAGGAGAGGGGAGGGGGGCAGUUUCUCUCUCGGCAGCGAUCCCGUCAGACCAAAUCGGUGCUUCUCUAACGAAAGAUUUUACUUGGUUGACCAUGUUACGAUAUCUCAACAGAUCUUAGAAAAACGUGUAAAAAAAUAAAAUGAAUAAAAACAUGAAAGACAACCUCUUAAGCCGUUGAACUCAGAGCAUUCCAGUAAAUUUAAUGUAUGUACUUUAGCUGUACCAUAACUAGUUUGUUUGUAUGGGAGGGUAAGGCCAAAGAAAAGAGCCUCUUUUCUUUUUCCUUUCUUUUGGUUUUUUUUCUUUUGGUUUUGUUUUUGUCAGCGACUUUUUGUUUUAUGACGGCCUGUUUUGAUGUAUGUGCAAAGUUUGUUGUUUGACAAUAAACCGGACUUUUAUUUUGUGAGUUGUACUUUGUAUCUCUGCCCCUUUUUAUUUGUGCUUUGCUCUCCUGUGAGGAAGAGGAAGCAGUGCAGGUAAACCUGAGGUCUGCUUUUACUUUAGGGUCACAACAGCGAGGAGGUGGGUCCAGCACAUCUUAUUGGACAUUUUACACUCAUUACAUCCAUAUAAUUCAUAUUACAUAAAAGUUAAGGUUUGGUACUAAAAUAAACUGGCGGUUCCAAAAGACUAAAUGUGGUUUAUUUCUUUUGGAUUUUUCUCUUCUUUUUGUCUAUAUUGCAAACAUGCAAACAGAAGCAGUUCUGAUAGUUGAAAGUUGUAAGAAUAACAUAAUGUGUCACAUAAAUAAGGGUUUCUGCAUGAAUUUAAAGUCUUAACAUUAAAAUAAAGCAUAUUAAGGUCUGAGAAGCUGAUCUGUAUUCUAAUAAAUUUCCUC
ensembl:lncRNA